UUUUAUUAAUUACGUGAAAAAUGGAAAAUUUAUACGUACUUGAAAAGGAAGGCGAGCAAAAGGAGAUGUAACGGAAAAUUAGAGAUGCAAUUUUUCUGAAACAACAUUGAAGGCACGCUCUAUUUCCGUGAAACUGUUCGCGUCUCGAACUUCUGUUGCUGAUUCUGAAAAUGUUACAGUUUUAUGAAAAUACUAUCUAAAAUCGCAGACUGUGAAACGUGAGUACCAGCUCUUAUUUAAUUCGAAUUAAAUCCAAUGGAUUAUUGGAAAAUAACGUAAAUUUUCGAUUAAUUGCUUUAUUUUUAAAUUGCAAUAAUAUUA